UGGUUAGAGUGUAGGGAUGGCAGGUAGCCUAGUGGUUAGAGUGUAGGGGCGGCAGGUAGCCUAGUGGUUAGAGUGUAGGGGCGGCAGGUAGCCUAGUGGUUAGAGUGUAGGGGCGGCAGGUAGCCUAGUGGUUAGAGUGUAGAGGAGGCAGGUAGCCUAGUGGUUAGAGUGUAGGGGCGGCAGGUAGCCUAGUGGUUAGAGUGUAGGGGCGGCAGGUAGCCUAGUGGUUAGAGUGUAGAGGAGGCAGGUAGCCUAGUGGUUAGAGUGUAGAGGCGGCAGGUAGCCUAGUGGUUAGAGUGUAGGGGCGGCAGGUAGCCUAGUGGUUAGAGUGUAGGGGCGGCAGGUAGCCUAGUGGUUAGAGUGUAGGGGCGGCAGGUAGCCUAGUGGUUAGAGUGUAGGGGCGGCAGGUAGCCUAGUGGUUAGAGUGUAGGGGCGGCAGGUAGCCUAGUGGUUAGAGUGUAGGGGCGGCAGGUAGCCUAGUGGUUAGUGUAGGGGCGGCAGGUGGCCUAGUGGUUAGAGUGUAGGGGCGGCAGGUAGCCUAGUGGUUAGAGUGUAGGGGCGGCAGGUAGCCUAGUGGUUAGUGUAGGGGCGGCAGGUAGCCUAGUGGUUAGUGUAGGGGCGGCAGGUAGCCUAGUGGUUAGAGUGUAGGGGCGGCAGGUAGCCUAGUGGUUAGAGUGUAGAGGCGGCAGGGUAGCCUAGUGGUUAGAGUGUAGGGGCGGCAGGUAGCCUAGUGGAUAGAGCGUUGGACUAGUAACCGGAAGGUUGCAAGUUCGAAUCCCCGAGCUGACAAGGUACAAAUCUGUCGUUCUGCCCCUGAACAGGCAUUUAACCCACUGUUCCUAGGCUGUCAUUGAAAAUAAGAGUUUGUUCUUAACUGACUUGCCUGGUAAAAUAAAGGUAAAAUAAAAAAUAAAAAUUUCAACUGAGACUAAGCCACUCGACAUCUUUCUAAUUAAUGUGCUUUUGGUAGUUUCAGUCGCCCAAUGGUAAAAUAAGGGUGAAUAACCUUCUGUAUU